UACGGAGGGUGCAAGCAUUGAUCGGAAUUACUGGGCGUAAAGGGCGCGUAGGCGGCUUAGAAAGUCGGAUGUGAAAUUCCGGGGCUCAACCCCGGAGCUGCAUUUGAAACUCCUAAGCUAGAGUUCAGUUAGGGUAAACGGAAUUCCACGUGUAGCGGUGAAAUGCGUAGAUAUGUGGAAGAACACCGGUGGUGAAGACGGUUUACUGGGCUGAGACUGACGCUGAGGCGCGAAAGCAGGGGGAGCAAACAGG
rnacentral:rRNA from 1 species